GGCCGCCUGGCGUAAUGGAAGCGCGUCUGACUACGAAGGAUCAAAUCUGCAUGUUGUGUCCCGACAAAUCAGGAGGUUGCAGGUUCGACCCCUGCGGUGGUCA